CGAAGUCAGAUGCUCAACCGACUGAGCCACCCAGGCGCCCCCAGAUUUGUGUUUUCUGAAGAUCUCCGUGGAGGUCGGAUGGAGGCUGGGCUGGGAAGACAGCAAGCAGACGCUGCUCCUGAAGGACGCAGUGGAAACACUCGGAACCGAGGACCUUCGGUCUCCGAUGACGUUCACGUACCCUGACUUCCUGAUCUGUAGCUUUUUCCCCCAGUGUAAAUAAAUCCCCCCGUGGCUGAUUUCAAGCUAGCAGCGUGAGGUCACCAGAGGCAGACUUGGCAAGAGGUUAUGUAGCCCCUUUGCGGACACAGUGAAAAAUAUCAGGGCUGAAGUAUUUCCGCGUGCCCCCCACGGAGCAGGCUCCAUGGGGAGAAGGUGGGGGAGAGAGCUUUGGACAUUGUAGGCAGGUGACCCAAAUGUGAGGUGGCGGGCAGAGGACAGGCCAACAUGCAAUCCACUCUGUUUCCAUUAGCACUGGCUGGGCAGGGGCUUGUCCUUCUUAGACACGUGGUUUGGGCGGGAUGGCCCGACGCCCUGUGCCCAACCGGUGCGAGCAAUGAGUGAACCCCGUCCCCAGACGGCGGCCGUUGGCUCAGGGAUGAGUAUUUAGCCGAUCAGAACCCGUGACAUGUGAGAAGAUGCUUCUUGGGGCUCCUAAGAUUGUCUUCUUUUUUCCUUUCCAAGGGAGCCACCAGAGGAAGCCCUCUGCCUUCCUCGGAAUGGGCACAUGAGAGGGCUUGUACAGAAGUUCAAAGAUGGAUUACCAUCUGCCACGCGUUAGGCUCCGUUCUAGGGGUUAGAGAUACAGCAGAGAACGAAGAUCUGCGUUCACAAAGUUGGCACGCACUCCUUCCUACCUGUUUGUUUAUUGAACGCCAGGCCACUGUCUCAAGUGAACGGGGGACAUCUGAUUACCCUCUUUGGCAGAAGAGGAAAGAGGGGGAGACUGAGUCACGGAGACGUCGGCUUCCGCUUUGGUACAGGAAGGCGUGAGGUGGGGCUUCCAACCCCGUUCGUCUGCCUCUAAAGCCUGAGCCUGUAAGACCUCACGGGGCACAGCUUGUGGCCGGUCUGUGACUCGUUCAUUCGCCGAACAGCCUGCCGGGCUCCGAAACGGCCCUGCCCGAGAUGGUAGUAGCCGCAUGUGGCUUUCGAGAUUCAAACGAAGUAAAACGGAAGGUUUGGCUGCUCCGUCUCCGCGAGAUCAAACGCGUCCAGGAUAUGUCACUGCGGAAAGUCCUAGUGGCCAGCAGCAGCCCGGGGAAGCAGGUGAACAGGUCUCUACUUGGCUUUCAGAUCCGGGGCCAAGUCCCAGGUAUGGGAAUCUCAUGGAUCAGUAAGAACCUUACAAACUACGUGCAGAGAGUGGAAAGAGCUGGAGAAGUUACUGGCGAUGCACGUGACUGAGGAAGGGCUCUGGGCGGGAGACGCACAGAACGCCCCCCAAAUCACAACAAGACUCGAACAGGCACUUUCCAAAGGAGAGCGCCCAGUCAAUGCGUCUAUGAACCGGUGCUCAAUCUUCUUAGCAAUCAGAGGAGGGGUGGUUAAAGCCACAAUAAGAUACUACUCACACCCAUCAGAGUGGCUCAAAUUAAAAAGACGCUCGAUACAGAGUAUUGGCGAGGAUGUAAAGGGCGUGAUGGGCGCAGUGUCUUUGGAGACCUCAGCAAAGUUGGAUGUAUUCCUACCUGUGAUCCGGCAAUGCCACAGCUUGGGGUGUGUGUGUGUGUGUAUGUGUGUGCGUGCCAGCAGACGUGUAAGCCCGAGUCACAAAAUGCAUGCACGACAGGUUCCGAGCAGCGCUGUUGGUAAUAGGUCCAAAGUGGCAAAAACUGGAAUUACCCAUCAUGCAGUGGGAUGAUCGUAUACCCCCAAAUCAAUGAGCCUGUGCCGGAUGCGACAACGUGCAUGGAUGUCAGGAACACGUUGGACAAAAAUCAACCCCAGGGACGAAGGAAUAGGUGACAUAAUUCCAGUCGGAAAACGGGAAACGGAGUAUUGCGCCAGAAAUCAGGGUGGUGGUUUCCUCCGGAGAGGAGGGAGGUGGUGACGAAAAACAAGGGACAGCAGGAGAGCUCCCGGGGUGCUGGCGAUAUUGGAGUGUUUUGACCUGGAUGGCGGUUACACAGAUGUUCGUUUUAUGACAAUUCGGGGUAGAGCCUCGUUUGGUGUGUGCUAUGUGGCACAAUUAAAAAUCAAAGCAAAAAUAUUUUCUGAGCCUUGUCAUAGCUUUUUGUUUCGCCUCCUUUUUAAAAAAAAUUUUAAUGAUUUAUUUUUUAUAUUAGAGAGAGACAGAGAGACAGAGAGUGAGUAGGGGAGGGGCAGAGAGGCAGAGACAGAAUCCGAAGCAGGCUCCAGGCUCCGAGCUGUCCGCACAGAGUCCGACGCGGGGCUCAGACUCACAAACCGUGAGAUCAUGACCUGAGCCGAAGUCGGACGCUCAACCGACUGAGCCACCCAGGCG